AGUGCCUGGUAGAUUUGAACUGUUGACCUUUUGGUUAGCAGCCAAACUCUUAACCACUAUACCACCAGGAUUUCCUAUGCCUAACAGGACCCUGAAAAUGAAGGGGGAAAAAUGUCUGCAGGGUCAGCUUUUGAAAGAGUGGCUUACCAUCCUCUUGACCAUGAGUUUUUUGAUAAGGCUAGGAACUCAGAAAUUUGUUUCAAUAAUUUCAUCAAAAAACCAAAACAAACAGUUGACAUUAGAUGUUUUUAUUCAAAAGUGAAUUUUAUCCAUAUCUUUAUUUGAAUAGUAUAUGCACAUGUCUGUAUAUAAUUUGGAUAAGUAUGCAAAUCAUAAAAAAUGGUUUAGCUUCUUUUACAGUACUAUAAAAUCAAAAAGAAACACUUUCUAGGUUUAUGAGGUAGGAUUCCUAAUAGAGAGCUUAACAGAGAUAGAAAAGUGGUAAGACUGCACCCUGUCAAAGGCAGAAAACUUGCAAGACCCGGAAAAACAAGGCAGUCCCGUCAAGUUCUAACUCUCAAAGGUUUCACAGUAGAUAUUAUGUGUAUUAUGUUUCUUUCUCUACAUGAUUUUUUUUGCCAUUGUGUAAAUUUCUGAUGUUCACUCAAGUGUGGCAUAUUAUUUUGUUGUUAUACUUGCUGUGUUUCUUUUUCUACAUUAGUUUUCUUUACUCUCUCUUUUUAAAUUCUUUGGUAUUUCAGAAGGUUUGUAUUUUUGUUCUCAUUGUUACCUUUGUGCAACUACAGAAGUUUGAUGCCAGCCUCAUUCUCUUCCCCUUAUAAGUUGUUUGAUCUUUUUGCCUGGAAGCCCUGAGUAUGUUUUCUUAAUUUUAAAUGUCUAAUAAUUUUAGUAGGAUGUUUUAGAGUUGAUUAUUUCAGGUUAAUUUUUUCUGGUACCUAGUUAGCCCUUUCAAUUUGUAAAUUCAGCUUUUCUUUUAUUUCUAGACAUUUUUCUUGGUGUAUCCAUUUUCAAUAUCAGUUCUGUUCCAGUGUUUUAGCUUCUUCAGUGACUCCACUUUUUGGUUUUCUUGGACCGUUUUGCUCUCUAUUAUGGCUUAUUGCACAUGCAUAAGACAUAGCUUGCUUGGAUUUGGUGUUUAUUUUUCUAUUCACAGGAGGUUGGCAUUAUUACUAUCCCCACUUGAUAGAAGACAAAAUGAAGGCACAAGGAAAUUAGAUUUGAAACUGGCAGCCUGGCUCUAGGUAAGUCCCCUUAACUACUACGCUAUUUCGUCUCUACUACAGAAACAAAAGAGCUGGCUUCUUAUUUUUCAGAAAUCCUUCUUAACGAACAGCCUCGUAUGCUGAGAGACCAAGCAAGUAUACUCUAUUUAAUCAUAUCACUGAAAAUUCUACUUAAUUCUUAUUAAAAUCUUAUGUCUUUAGCUACGGGGGAAAGCAAGAACACAGGAAGUUAAUAAGAGAAGUUAUAAAUUUCUUUUUCAAAUUAUUUUUCUGAGCCUAAGACAUAGGAGGCUUUCUUUUUAAAUUGUAUUAUGGCUUAAGAUGAGUUUCUGACACUGAUUUUUCAUCAUAGUAACCUUUAAUAUUUUUAAUUAAAAAAUAUAUAUAGAAAUAUUUACAAACAGCAAAAUAUGCAGAAGCAAGAAGACACAGAAUUCAUUUAAUAUUGUAAGGACUGAGAGCUAGACAGCACACACUGACAAUAAACUCAAGGAUUGUCAAAAGUACUCAAAGGCGGAAGCCUGUAAAAGCAGCCUGUGAUA